rnacentral:rRNA from 1 species
UGCCAGCCGCCGCGGUAAGACGGAGGGUGCGACCGUUGUUCGGAAUUACUGGGCAUAAAGAGCGCGUAGGCGGUCCAUUAAGUCAGGUGUGAAAUCCCCCGGCUCAACCGGGGAACUGCAUCUGAUACUGAUGGACUUGAGGAUGGUAGGGGUGAGCGGAACUCCAGGUGGAGCGGUGAAAUGCGUAGAUAUCUGGAGGAACACCGGUGGCGAAAGCGGCUCACUGGACCAUCUCUGACGCUGAGGUGCGAAAGCUAGGGUAGCAAACGGGAUUAGAUA